rnacentral:lncRNA from 1 species
CGAUGGUUGGCAGGUCGACUCCAAAGAAAGCGAGAGUCGACUCUCAGUGGUUCACAAGGCAAAAGUCAGAGAGCAGUUUUCGGACUCUGAGAUUCGAGUCGACUCCCGCAAUGCGCGAGUCGACUCCGUUACAGCGCGAUCCCAAAAAGACAGAAGACCAAAUUAUUGUCUCUGAGAGCCGAGUCGACUCCCAGACAGCUCGAGUCGACUCCAAGGCAGAAGGGUAUGUUUCGGAAACUGAGAGCCGA